rnacentral:SRP_RNA from 1 species
AGCCGGGUCCAAGGCAAUAAAGACUCACGAACCCCGUCAGAUCCGGGAGGAAGCAGCGGUAGUGAUAAUCUUUCUGUGCUGCGGGUAGCCCGGCUAUC